rnacentral:tRNA from 1 species
GUGGCGGGAUAGCUCAGUUGGUUAGAGCACGGGACUCAUAAGCCCGGGGUAGUUGUUGAUUAACAAAGAUAACACGCCACU